rnacentral:SRP_RNA from 1 species
CCCUGUGCGGCCCGGCCAAGCGGUUCACCAUCCUGCCCGUGUCGCUCGGCGCGAGUCUGGCGGUGGCGAAGCGG